AUUAGCACGGUGGUGUGGCCAUCCUUCAAUCUGGCCCUGGGAACUGGUCACUCCCAUGUGUCCUUACAUGCCACUAAUGCAGGCGCAAUCCUUGCACAAUUCUUGUUCCUUGAAGGGAGAUGAAUAUUCAGAAAGAGCCAUGUUCCAGGAAAAUGAGCAGAGAUUUUGCCCCCAGGAUGACACCCAGUUUCUUUAAUCCCUUUUGAAGGGCAAGUGAGCAGAAGCUCGUUGACAGGAAACAUUCCUGGUCUACCCUCAAACUUGUGAAUACUCACUGGAGUACAGAAAUUCUGAUUCACCUUGUGUUUGCAGUCUGGAGCUUUGACCAAUCUUCUUUGCUUUCCCCUUCUGCCCUCAUCUACAACUGACCUGUGCUUUCCUCCUGGCAGUCUUCACCCAUGAAGAGUCAGCUGUGCCACACACUGGGACACCUGUGACCACACACAAGACCAGCACAGCCACCUCCAUCAGCAGCACCUCCAAGACCUCUGUCUCCACAGGGCCCAGCCCAGCAAGCAGCACAGGAGCCCCUCUGGAAACAACCUCUGCCCAUGCCAGCUCUCCACCUGCCCCCAGCAGCCCGCUCAGCACAAGGCUGCCAUCCACUGCCACCACUUCCACUGGCUCCUCCACAGCAGCUGCCAGCACCAGCCCCAGGCCUACACCUACAACCCUGAGGCCCAGGCCCUCUUCCCCAGCAACCCAAGCUGCAAAGGAGUCUCCUGUAACAGAGUCCUCUGCAUCCACCACAGCCAAAACCAGCACGCUGCCACAACCUGCUUCUUCUCCCUCCUCAACUGUGUCCUCAACAUGGCUCAGCUCCUCACAGCCUGUAUCCACCCACAAAGUGCCACAUGCUGAGACAGCUGUAACCACAGAGAAGACCACGGCCACCACCUCCAUCAGCAGCACCUCCAAGACCUCUGUCUCCACAGGGCCCAGCCCAGCAAGCAGCACAGGAGCCCCUCUGGAAACAACCUCUGCCCAUGCCAGCUCUCCACCUGCCCCCAGCAGCCCGCUCAGCACAAGGCUGCCAUCCACUGCCACCACUUCCACUGGCUCCUCCACAGCAGCUGCCAGCACCAGCCCCAGGCCUACACCUACAACCCUGAGGCCCAGGCCCUCUUCCCCAGCAACCCAAGCUGCAAAGGAGUCUCCUGUAACAGAGUCCUCUGCAUCCACCACAGCCAAAACCAGCACGCUGCCACAACCUGCUUCUUCUCCCUCCUCAACUGUGUCCUCAACAUGGCUCAGCUCCUCACAGCCUGGUAAGGCUCCCUCCCAAUUUUUCUGUUCUGCCCAGCUCCUCCUGUCUUCCUUCCCUCCCACCAUCAUUCCCUCCAUGAACCGUGCAGUACUUGUGGAUCUUUGCUUGCCCCACCAUUCCCAUUGCCUUUACUUGGCCCCGUUCCCCAGUGUAUUCCUGUGCCUGUGCACUGCCUCUGCUUCAGAUGGAGCUGAUUAUUGUUCCCUGCAGGUUUCCUAGUGCUGUUUCAGAUGUGAGUGCCAGCCACUGGUGAUGACACACGAGUGCUUUGGUGAUCUCUCUGGAGUGCCAGCUCAGCUCCUCAGCCUCCUCUGUUUGUGCAUCGGGCAGCCAGCGAGUGGGCAUGGGGUGGCCAUGGGUCCAUCAGGGACACAGCCAGCAUAGCUGGCCCUAAGCCAGUGGCCAAGGAGACACUGCCUGACACAGAGCAUCAUGCUGAUCUGUGCAGUG
ensembl:lncRNA